UGAUGCAGCAACGCCGCGUGAGGGAUGACGGCCUUCGGGUUGUAAACCUCUUUUAGUAGGGAAGAAGCGAAAGUGACGGUACCUGCAGAAAAAGCACCGGCUAACUACGUGCCAGCAGCCGCGGUAAUACGUAGGGUGCAAGCGUUGUCCGGAAUUAUUGGGCGUAAAGAGCUCGUAGGCGGUUUGUCGCGUCUGCUGUGAAAUCCCGAGGCUCAACCUCGGGUCUGCAGUGGGUACGGGCAGACUAGAGUGCGGUAGGGGAGAUUGGAAUUCCUGGUGUAGCGGUGGAAUGCGCAGAUAUCARGAGGAACACCGAUGGSGAAGGCAGAUCUCUGGGCCGKAACUGAMGCUGAGGAGCGAARGCAUGGGGAGCGAACAGGAUUAGAURCCCUGGUAGUCCAUGCCGUAAACGUKGGGAACUAGAUGUGGGGACCAUUCCACGGUCUCCGUGUCGCAGCUAACGCAUUAAGUUCCCCGCCUGGGGAGUACGGCCGCAAGGCUAAAACUCWRAGGAAUUGACGGGGGCCCGCACAAGCGGSGGAGCAUGCGGAUUAAUUCGAUGCAACGCGAAGAACCUUACCAAGGCUUGACAUAUACCGGAAACGYGCAGAGAUGUGCGCCCCGCAAGGWCGGUAUACAGGUGGUGCAUGGUUGUCGUCAGCUCGUGUCGUGAGAUGUUGGGUUAAGUCCCGCAACGAGCGCAACCCUCGUUCUAUGUUGCCAGCACGUAAUGGUGGGAACUCAUAGGAGACUGCCGGGGUCAACUCGGAGGAAGGUGGAGAUGACGUCAAAUCAUCAUGCCCCUUAUGUCUUGGGCUUCACGCAUGCUACAAUGGCCGGUACAAAGGGCUGCGAUACCGUAAGGUGGAGCGAAUCCCAAAAAGCCGGUCUCAGUUCGGAUUGAGGUCUGCAACUCGACCUCAUGAAGUCGGAGUCGCUAGUAAUCGCAGAUCAGCAACGCUGCGGUGAAUACGUUCCCGGGCCUUGUACACACCGCCCGUCA
rnacentral:rRNA from 1 species